GCAAGCGUUGUUCGGAGUUACUGGGCGUAAAGGGUGUGUAGGCGGUUCUUUAAGUUUGGGGUGAAAUCUCCCGGCUCAACUGGGAGGGUGCGCCGAAUACUGAGGGACUAGAGUACGGGAGAGGAAAGUGGAAUUCCUGGUGUAGCGGUGAAAUGCGUAGAUAUCAGGAGGAACACCGGUGGUGUAGACGGCUUUCUGGCUGCUAACUGACGCUGAGGCGCGAAGGCUGGGGUAGCGAACAGG
rnacentral:rRNA from 1 species